rfam:Aestuariibacter aggregatus strain CGMCC 1.8995 genome assembly, contig: Ga0079874_102
CGUAUGGUGUUCAGCUUCGGGCUGGAUAGCGAUACGGCCUUUUUUUGAGGU